CCUACGGGCGGCAGCAGUGAGGAAUAUUGGUCAAUGGACGAGAGUCUGAACCAGCCAAGUAGCGUGAAGGAUGACUGCCCUAUGGGUUGUAAACUUCUUUUAUAUGGGAAUAAAACAGGGUAUGCAUACCCUCUUGUAUGUACCAUAUGAAUAAGGAUCGGCUAACUCCGUGCCAGCAGCCGCGGUAAUACGGAGGAUCCGAGCGUUAUCCGGAUUUAUUGGGUUUAAAGGGAGCGUAGGUGGAUUGUUAAGUCAGUUGUGAACGUUUGCGGCUCAACCGUAAAAUUGCAGUUGAAACUGGCAGUCGUGAGUACAGUAGAGGUGGGCGGAAUUCGUGGUGUAGCGGUGAAAUGCUUAGAUAUCACGAAGAACUCCGAUUGCGAAGGCAGCUGACUAAACUGCCACUGACAUUGAUGCUCGAAAGUGUGGGUAUCAAACAGGAUUAGAUACCCUAGUAGUC
rnacentral:rRNA from 1 species